GAAAUGAUGUGUUGUUUUCCCGUGUGAUGGCAUUCCCCAAACUGUCUCGUCUAGUCGCGUGCAUUUGUGAUAUGAGCAUGCGCGAUGUUGUAGUCGAGAGUCCUUUUGUCAGUCUUCUUGUUCGUCUCUGUCAGAGUAGUCUACCUUUCCGUAAUGUCCAAAUAUAUUAUGUAAAACAAACCAGUCUUGUCCUUUGUGUCCUGCGUCCCGGGGAACGGAAUGGCUGAGAUUCCGUUACAACGUGGUGCCGUAACCCGGGACGCAGAGGAUGAGUAAGUUUGUCAUGAGUCUGUUCAUCGUCGUCAACAACGAAGUAACUGUUACUUUGAAGUAAGCAGAGCGUGGGAGCGGAGGAGGUGAAGAGCUGGUGGGAGCGGAAGACGACGCGGAGAGGAGGCAGAGAAGGUGAUGACUAGAACAGUCACUGUGGACUGGAGCCUGAGACGGCAGGAACCGCGACGGAGCGUGCGGCCGUGGCUCGCCAGAGGACAGUGGACGAGUCUGGCGUCACCGACUGUGUGUAGUCCUUGUUGUUCGUCUUGUUGUCUUGCUCGCUGUGUUGUUCUCUCUCUGUUCAGUUCGUUGCUUGUUGCUGUGUUGUUUCAGUUUGGUUGUUGUCGGUCUGUUGCUUUUCUAUUCGUUCUGUUGUUCUCCAUUGUUUUUGUUGUAGAUUUAUUUGGUGCGGCUGUGCGCAUGUUAUUAUUUUGUUGGAGCUUCGGGCCCCCGUGUUUCGGUUGGCCUUGUGUGGCGUGGCCUGGUCGUAGAGCGUCGGCUCUAGGUUGAUGGUUGGUUUUCGUUUUUCUGUUCUGCUGUGGUUCCUUUUGCUGUUGUGCAUGUGGAACGUGGUGUCGGUUUAUUAUUUUGUGGAAUGUCAUCAAGGAGGCAGGUGUUGUGAAGUGAUGUGUUGUUUUCCCGUGUGAUGGCAUUCCCCAAACUGUCUCGUCGAGUCGCGUGCAUGUGUGAUAUGAGCAUGCGCGAUGUUGUAGUCGAGAGUCCUUUUGUCAGUCUUCUUGUUCGUCUCUGUCAGAGUAGUCUACCUUUCCGUAAUGUCCAAAUAUAUUAUGUAAAACAAA